rnacentral:misc_RNA from 1 species
UACGAGGGGUCCAAGCGUUGUUCGGAAUUACUGGGCGUAAAGCGGGUGUAGGCGGCCUCGAAAGUCGGAUGUGAAAGCCCUGGGCUCAACCCAGGAAGUGCAUCCGAAACUGCGGGGCUUGAGUACUGGAGAGGGAAGUGGAAUUCCUGGUGUAGCGGUGAAAUGCGUAGAUAUCAGGAGGAACAUCGGUGGCGAAGGCGGCUUCCUGGCCAUGUACUGACGCUCAGACCCGAAAGCGUGGGGAGCAAACAGG